rnacentral:rRNA from 1 species
UAUGUGAUCGUCUCUCGCAUAUCAAUAAGCGGAGGAAAAGAAACUAACAAGGAUUCCCCUAGUAACGGCGAGUGAAGCGGGAAGAGCUCAAAUUUGAAAUCUUAAAGGGUUUCCCUUUACGAAUUGUAGUUUAAAGAAGUGUUUUCUGUUGAGGUUUUGGUAAAAGUUCUUUGGAAUAGGACAUCAUAGAGGGUGAGAAUCCCGUAUUUGACCUUUACUUUCAACUUUGUGAUACACUUUCAAAGAGUCGGAUUGUUUGGGAAUGCAGUCCAAAAUGGGUGGUAAAUUUCAUCUAAAGCUAAAUAUUGGCGAGAGACCGAUAGCGAACAAGUACCGUGAGGGAAAGAUGAAAAGAACUUUGAAAAGAGAGUUAAACAGUACGUGAAAUUGUCAAAAGGGAAGCGUUUGACACCAGUGUUGUUUUUCUGAAAAUCAAUUAAAGAACUGUUUAUGCUAAGCUGUUUAGACUUUAUCAGCUAACUGUUUAGUUUUGAGCUUUUCUUUAAUGCACUUUUCAGUUAACAAGUCAACAUCAAUUUCUUUUGCUGUAAAAAAGCUUGAGGAAGGUGGCUUGAGAUUCGUCUUAAGUGUUUAUAGCCUCUUGCCUAUGCAGUCGGAGAGAUUGAGGUCUGCAGCGUAGAUCCUUCGGGGCUAAAUGCAUUUGUGCUAAGUUAUAGCAUUUUAUAGACAACUUGUUGACUAUGAUUUGUCUUGUAGCUUACUCGCUUAUGUUAUUUUACCUACGCUUAGGAUGUUGACACACGCGCGUGCUC